rnacentral:lncRNA from 12 species
CCACAGCUGUGUGCAGCCCUCUCUCCUGGCCAGGCAGGGGGAGCAGAUGGACCCUAAGAGAACACCAGAGGGCACCAGCAAAACAGCACAGGGCUCCUGCCUGCCCUUGGGAAGGUGGUGAUGUGCAGCAGCCUGGAG